UUUACGGAGAGUUUGAUCCUGGCUCAGGACGAACGCUGGCGGCGUGCUUAACACAUGCAAGUCGAACGAUGAAGCCCAGCUUGCUGGGUGGAUUAGUGGCGAACGGGUGAGUAACACGUGAGCAACGUGCCCAUAACUCUGGGAUAACCUCCGGAAACGGUGGCUAAUACUGGAUAUCUAACACGAUCGCAUGGUCUGUGUUUGGAAAGACUUUUUGGUUAUGGAUCGGCUCACGGCCUAUCAGCUUGUUGGUGAGGUAAUGGCUCACCAAGGCGACGACGGGUAGCCGGCCUGAGAGGGUGACCGGCCACACUGGGACUGAGACACGGCCCAGACUCCUACGGGAGGCAGCAGUGGGGAAUAUUGCACAAUGGGCGAAAGCCUGAUGCAGCAACGCCGCGUGAGGGAUGACGGCCUUCGGGUUGUAAACCUCUUUUAGUAGGGAAGAAGCGAAAGUGACGGUACCUGCAGAAAAAGCACCGGCUAACUACGUGCCAGCAGCCGCGGUAAUACGUAGGGUGCAAGCGUUGUCCGGAAUUAUUGGGCGUAAAGAGCUCGUAGGCGGUUUGUCGCGUCUGCUGUGAAAUCCCGAGGCUCAACCUCGGGUCUGCAGUGGGUACGGGCAGACUAGAGUGUGGUAGGGGAGAUUGGAAUUCCUGGUGUAGCGGUGGAAUGCGCAGAUAUCAGGAGGAACACCGAUGGCGAAGGCAGAUCUCUGGGCCAUUACUGACGCUGAGGAGCGAAAGCAUGGGGAGCGAACAGGAUUAGAUACCCUGGUAGUCCAUGCCGUAAACGUUGGGCGCUAGAUGUGGGGACCAUUCCACGGUUUCCGUGUCGUAGCUAACGCAUUAAGCGCCCCGCCUGGGGAGUACGGCCGCAAGGCUAAAACUCAAAGGAAUUGACGGGGGCCCGCACAAGCGGCGGAGCAUGCGGAUUAAUUCGAUGCAACGCGAAGAACCUUACCAAGGCUUGACAUAUACCGGAAACGUUCAGAAAUGUUCGCCCCGCAAGGUCGGUAUACAGGUGGUGCAUGGUUGUCGUCAGCUCGUGUCGUGAGAUGUUGGGUUAAGUCCCGCAACGAGCGCAACCCUCGUCGUAUGUUGCCAGCACGUAAUGGUGGGAACUCAUAUGAGACUGCCGGGGUCAACUCGGAGGAAGGUGGGGAUGACGUCAAAUCAUCAUGCCCCUUAUGUCUUGGGCUUCACGCAUGCUACAAUGGCUGGUACAAUGGGCUGCAAUACCGCGAGGUGGAGCGAAUCCCAAAAAGCCAGUCUCAGUUCGGAUUGGGGUCUGCAACUCGACCCCAUGAAGUCGGAGUCGCUAGUAAUCGCAGAUCAGCAACGCUGCGGUGAAUACGUUCCCGGGCCUUGUACACACCGCCCGUCAAGUCAUGAAAGUCGGUAACACCCGAAGCCGGUGGCCUAACCUUUUGGAGGGAGCCGUCGAAGGUGGGAUCGGUAAUUAGGACUAAGUCGUAACAAGGUAGCCGUACCGGAAGGUGCGGCUGGAUCACCUCCUUUCUAAGGA
rnacentral:rRNA from 1 species